CCUACGGGAGGCUGCAGUGAGGAAUAUUGGUCAAUGGUCGGGAGACUGAACCAGCCAAGCCGCGUGAGGGAGGAAGGUACAGAGUAUCGUAAACCUCUUUUGUCAGGGAACAAAGGCGGGGACGUGUCCCCGGAUGAGUGUACCUGAAGAAAAAGCAUCGGCUAACUCCGUGCCAGCAGCCGCGGUAAUACGGAGGAUGCGAGCGUUAUCCGGAUUUAUUGGGUUGAAAGGGUGCGGAGGCGGUCUGUUAAGUCAGCGGUGAAAGGCCCGGGCUCAACCCCGGCCGGGCCUUUGAAACUGGCAGUCUCGAGUUGGAGAGAAGUAUGCGGAAUUCGCGGUGUAGCGGUGAAAUGCAUAGAUAUCGCGAAGAACUCCGAUUGCGAAGGCAGCAUGCCGGCUCCACACUGACGCUGAGGCACGAAAGCGUGGGUAUCGAACAGGAUUAGAUACCCGUGUAGUC
rnacentral:rRNA from 1 species